rnacentral:rRNA from 1 species
GAUGAACGCUAGCUACAGGCUUAACACAUGCAAGUCGAGGGGCAGCAUGAACUUAGCUUGCUAAGUUUGAUGGCGACCGGCGCACGGGUGAGUAACGCGUAUGCAACCUGCCCUUCACAGGGGGAUAACCGGGAGAAAUUCCGACUAAUACCGCAUACGUCCUCCGGGGGCAUCCCCUGGGGAUGAAAGAUUUAUUGGCUAAGGAUGGGCAUGCGUAAUAUUAGGAAGUUGGUGAGGUAACGGCUCACCAAUCCGACGAUAUUUAGGGGUUCUGAGAGGAAGGUCCCCCACAUUGGAACUGAGACACGGUCCAAACUCCUACGGGAGGCAGCAGUGAGGAAUAUUGGUCAAUGGGCGGAAGCCUGAACCAGCCAAGUAGCGUGCAGGACGACGGCCCUAUGGGUUGUAAACUGCUUUCAGUCGGGAAUAAUUCGUCGGUCGUGACCGACGUUGCAGGUACCGUCAUAAGAAGGACCGGCUAAUUCCGUG